UACGUAGGGUCCGAGCGUUGUCCGGAAUUACUGGGCGUAAAGAGCUCGUAGGUGGUUUGUCGCGUUGUUCGUGAAAACUCACAGCUUAACUGUGGGCGUGCGGGCGAUACGGGCAGACUUGAGUACUGCAGGGGAGACUGGAAUUCCUGGUGUAGCGGUGGAAUGCGCAGAUAUCAGGAGGAACACCGGUGGCGAAGGCGGGUCUCUGGGCAGUAACUGACGCUGAGGAGCGAAAGCGUGGGUAGCGAACAGG
rnacentral:rRNA from 1 species